CAGCAGCCACGGGAAUACAGAGGGUGCGAGCGUUAAUCGGAUUUACUGGGCGUAAAGCGUGCGCAGGCGGUUAUAUAAGACAGAUGUGAAAUCCCCGGGCUCAACCUGGGAACUGCAUUUGUGACUGUAUAGCUAGAGUACGGCAGAGGGGGAUGGAAUUCCGCGUGUAGCAGUGAAAUGCGUAGAUAUGCGGAGGAACACCGAUGGCGAAGGCAAUCCCCUGGGCCUGUACUGACGCUCAUGCACGAAAGCGUGGGGAGCAAACAGGAUUAGAUACCCGAGUAGUCCCUGUCUCUUAUAC
rnacentral:rRNA from 1 species